UACGUAGGGUGCGAGCGUUGUCCGGAAUUACUGGGCGUAAAGAGCUCGUAGGUGGUUUGUCGCGUUGUCCGUGAAAACUCACAGCUCAACUGUGGGCGUGCGGGCGAUACGGGCAGACUGGAGUACUGCAGGGGAGACUGGAAUUCCUGGUGUAGCGGUGGAAUGCGUAGAUAUCGGAAGGAACACCAGUGGCGAAAGCGGCUUCCUGGUCCGACACCGACGUUCAGGCACGAAAGCGUGGGGAGUAAACAGG
rnacentral:rRNA from 1 species